GGACCUGACUGCUAUCGGAUUGGUACUAAGCCAUGUGAGUCAUUGUAGCAAUACAAGGCAUACGGCUCAGUAACACGUAGUCAAUCUAACCUAUGGACGGGGAUAACCUCGGGAAACUGAGGAUAAACCCCGAUAGAUCAUUAUUCCUGGAACGGUUUAUGGUCCAAAUGAUUCGUCGCCGUAGGAUGGGACUGCGGCCUAUCAGCUUGUUGGUGAGGUAAUGGCCCACCAAGGCUAUUACAGGUACGGGCUCUGAGAGGAGAAGCCCGGAGAUGGGUACUGAGACACGGACCCAGGCCCUAUGGGGCGCAGCAGGCGAGAAACCUUUGCAAUGUGCGCAASSAMSACAAGGUUAAUCCGAGUGUUUCCUGCUAAAGGAAUCUUUUGUUAGUCGUAAAACCACUAUUGAAUAAGGGGUGGGCAAGUUCUGGUGUCAGCCGCCGCGGUAAAACCAGCACCUCAAGUGGUCAGGAUGAUUAUUGGGCCUAAAGCAUCCGUAGCCUGUUCUGUAAGUUUUCGGUUAAAUCCAUUAGCUCAACUAAUGGGCUGCCGAAAAUACUGCAGAACUAGGGAGUGGGAGAGGUAGACGGUGCUGGGUAGGAAGGGGUAAAAUCCUUUGAUCUAUUGAUGACCACCUGUGGCGAAGGCGGUCUACCAGAACACGUUCGACGGUGAGGGAUGAAAGCUGGGGGAGCAAACCGGAUUAGAUACCCGGGUAGUCCCAGCUGUAAACGAUGCAGACUCGGUGAUGCCCUGGCUUGUGGCCAGUGCAGUGCCGCAGGGAAGCCGUUAAGUUUGCCGCCUGGGAAGUACGUACGCAAGUAUGAAACUU
rnacentral:rRNA from 1 species